AGAGUGGUGCGCCACCAUGUAACAAAACGCAACGUGGCUUAGAAUUUCAAAUUCAGAACCACUUUGGUCCGGGGUUUAGGGUUCUUUCUCAGAAGUUCGCAAAUUGUUCUAUCGGUGUCAUCAAUUCGCACGCAGCUUGAGGAGAGACUUCAACAGGAGAGGAUUUGAAGGUCAAGUAGACUGGUCAUGGCUGCGAGUUGAGCAUUUUAGGAUUCUUUAAAAGUUAAAACUAACAGUUUUCUUGUAGCCAUCUAAUCUCACAAGUGUUCUGCUGUCACUUCUGGCCAUUGUUGCUACUGCCAACCACCCACCGACGUUGUCUCUGGAAAAAAUUUCCAACAACCUUUUUCGGCAUAACCACCACCACCAAGACUGGAAUUUGCUGAUAUACAAAACCCCGAUGCUUCUAAUGCAACAGCCAUGACACACACACAUGUGCCAUUACAUCUACCAACUCUUGCCGGUGCGUGAAGAUCACACACUGCCAUACAAGUUGUCGUUUACAAAAGCGACUUCAUUGUUCUCUCCGGCCAUUCCUCUUUCUGUUACGGUAUUGUUUUUUGGCUGUUGGGUCUUAAUUUUCUACUGCCCUAUAUGGUUUUGUGGCUCGUCGUCUUGUGUUUUGGUGUUUUGCUCGAUGUUGUUAGUGCUUAUGGGUUGUUUCUGCAUUUGCGACUUUUUUGUGAGCAUCUGUAAUUAGUUGCACAUCCUACUAGUUUGUGUGCCUCAAAUAUUUUUGCUGCCUUUGGUAAAAUAUCACUGCAUAUACUGCUUCUAUUGAAGCUGUGCCUCGAUAAUCCAUUAUAAUUAGAGUUUUAGCCGCCAAAGUGAGAGUGUUGACUCAAUAUUGUUUUCAGCUGCCGGAGUGAGAACCGGUCCAAUAUUCUUGUGGUUUUGUAUGAAAUGGAGACACCUUUCAAUUAAGGCUUCAGCUACCAGAGUGGGCACUAACCUAAUACCGUUGCAGUUUGGGUUUUCUUAUUGUUAUGGUUUUAUAUUUUUUUGCUUCUGUCUUACGCGGUUAAGGCUCAACUUUUACCUUCGUCUUUUGAUGGUUAAACUUUGGUAGCUUCUGUCUAUUGUAAUGGUUACACACUUUUGCUUCUUUUAAGUGGUUAUGCUUGAGUAGUUUCAGCUACUGGAGUGGGCACUAGCCUAAUAUCGUUGCAGUUUGGGUUUUCUUAUUGUUAUGUUUUAUAUUUUUUUCUUCUGUCUUAAGUGGUUAAGGCUCAUCCUUUACCUUCGGCUUUUGAUGCUUAAACUUUGGUAGCUUCUGUCUUAUGUAGUGGUUAAACAUUUUUGCUUCCGUUAAUUGUUUAAGCUUUGAGUAGUUUCUUCUACUUAAUGGUUAAACUUGUUUUCUGUUUUGUUCCCAAAUUGUGGUUAUUGAACCUUGAUUCUUUUGGAGUGAGUGUCAUGGUAUGCUAGAAGAAGACCGGAGAUUGAAGAUUUCUACGAAUCAUGUACCUCAGGUUGGUGCCUCUAUUUUUAUGUUUUCUAUUUUCAAGGGUAUAUUUGUAACAAGCUUAAAACUUAGUAAGCUUUAGCUUGAGGGGAAGUGUUAGAAUAUUAUAAAUAGUUUGUAAUAUCUUUUAUAUUGUGUAAGAAUAUCAUAUUUUAUUUCCUAUGAUUUGUUUAUAA